GUGCUCAUUGUAGCAGCAUAUAUACUAAAGGUGAAACAAUAUAGAGAAGAAACAAUAUAGCUCUUAUGCAAAAGUACACAAAUUUAUGAAGUGUUCCAUAUCAUA
rnacentral:snRNA from 1 species